rnacentral:rRNA from 1 species
GAAAAGAAACCAACAGGGAUUGCCUCAGUAACGGCGAGUGAAGCGGCAACAGCUCAAAUUUGAAAUCUGGCCUACGCCCGAGUUGUAAUUUGUAGAGGAUGCCUUUGGUACGGCGCCUUCCGAGUUCCCUGGAACGGGACGCCAUAGAGGGUGAGAGCCCCGUAUGGUUGGACGCUAGGCCUUUGUAGGGCUCCUUCGACGAGUCGAGUAGUUUGGGAAUGCUGCUCAAAAUGGGAGGUAAAUUUCUUCUAAAGCUAAAUACCGGCCAGAGACCGAUAGCGCACAAGUAGAGUGAUCGAAAGAUGAAAAGCACUUUGAAAAGAGGGUUAAAUAGCACGUGAAAUUGUUGAAAGGGAAGCGCUCAUGACCAGACUUGUGCCGUGCGAAUCAUCCAGCGUUCUCGCUGGUGCACUUCGCCCGGCCCAGGCCAGCAUCGGUUUUCGUAGGGAGAUAAAGACUUCGGGAACGUGGCUCCUCCGGGAGUGUUAUAGCCCGCUGUAUAAUAUCCUUACGGGGACCGAGGUUCGCGCUCUGCAAGGAUGCUGGCGUAAUGGUCAUUAGCGACCCGUCUUGAAACACGGACCAAGGAGUCGUCGUCUUGCGCGAGUGUUUGGGUGUAAAACCCGCACGCGUAAUGAAAGUAAACGUGGGUGAGAGCUUCGGCGCAUCAUCGACCGAUCCUGAUGUCUUCGGAUGGAUUUGAGUAGGAGCGUAUGGCGACGGACCCGAAAGAUGGUGAACUAUGCCUGUAUAGGGUGAAGCCAGAGGAAACUCUGGUGGAGGCUCGCAGCGGUUCUGACGUGCAAAUCGAUCGUCAAAUAUGGGCAUGGGGGCGAAAGACUAAUCGAACCAUCUAGUAGCUGGUUACCGCCGAAGUUUCCCUCAGGAUAGCAGUGUUGUUUUCAGUUUUAUGAGGUAAAGCGAAUGAUUAGGGACUCGGGGGCGCUAUAUUGCCUUCAUCCAUUCUCAAACUUUAAAUAUGUAAGAAGAUUUUGUUUCUUAGCUGAACGAAGUCAUUCGAAUGUAUCAACACUAGUGGGCCAUUUUUGGUAAGCAGAACUGGCGAUGCGGGAUGAACCGAACGCGGGGUUAAGGUGCCAGAGUAGACGCUCAUCAGACACCA